GUAAGAACCAUACAGCCGGGUGCGGUGGCUCACGCCUGUAAUCCCAGCACUUUGGGAGGCCGAGGCAGGUGGAUCACGAGGUCAGGAGGGAGGGAGGAGCAUGUUGGCUUGUGAUUAUUCAACAAACAUAAGAAGUGCCUUUCCUACUUUGUGUCCUGUGUGAGUCGGGAACUAAGAUAAAGCGGGUGGUGAAGGAACUGGCGAGGAAGCAUCACAGCAGGGGGGCUGUGCCAGCUUUGAGGAGUCAGUGUGGCACAGAGACUUGCUGUGGUCUGGCUUCCUCGAGGAAGGAACUGUUGCAGGUGUUCACAUGUAUCAGUGCUAUUUAGAGCUACAUGCCCAAAGGCUGUUUGGCCAGCUGGGGAUCUGAUUCUGGUCUCCUAGCUGCUUGUUUUGGUUUCAAAUCUCCUGACUCUUGGGUUUCAGCAGCAUCUGGGAGGCCAAAUGCGUGCUGAGAUUAGCAUGUGCAGGGCUGCAUGGAAACCCUUCGCUAGCGUCCCACAUGGAAUCCAAGAGCAGAAGGGGAAGAAUCUCAUCGGUCCAGCUCUACUCAGGUGCCACUCCCUGUCUAAUCAACUGUGACUGGGCUCAUGUUACUCCUGCCCCCUUCCCCCCACAUACAUGCUGCAGGUGUCUGAGUAAUUGAUGUAGUUGUGGUGGUGAAUUGAGUGUAUCUGUUGCAUGAUUGAGCCCAUUGACAGCCAAGCUCACUGUGGCAGAACAUGCCCUUUCUCAUCCCUGCUUUGAGAAGUGUCUGCUGAAUGCCCAGCCUGCCCCACGAGGCAGGCGCCACCCUGCAGAGAUGGGACAUCUAGCAUUUGUAACACAUGUCACUGUGGGUGUCCUUUCUCUCGCAAACUAGGGAUUUUUUCUUCUUCUUCUUCUUUUUGUUUUUUUUUUUUUAGAUGGAGUCUUGCUCUGUCACCCAGGCUGGAGUGUAGUGGCGUGAUCUCGGCUCCCCACAACGUCUGCUUCCCGGAUUCAAGCGAUUCUCCUACCUUAGCCUCCCAAGUAGCUGGGACUACAGGCGUGCCACCAUGCCUGGCUAACUUUUUGUAUUUUUAGUAGAGACGGGGUUUUGCCAUGUUGGCCAGGCGGGUGGGAUUUCUUCUGUAUUGACAGGGCCAGCAUAGAGCAAGGCACAUAACAGGAGACUUUUGUUAAAUUAACAGAUGCACACUUCCUUUAAUAAUAUUUAGUGUGCUUUAUAGAUUCUUCCCCGUUUUUAUUAUUUAUUUGUGAGGACUUGUCCUUGCUUCAUAGAUGAGAAAACCCAGGCUCGGAGAGAUUAAAUCGCUUGCCCAGCCAUUUCUAAAAUGGAUUAAAUCCCUUGUUGUCUUGUUGUCUUUUGAAGCAGUUCACUGAGCACGUGACUCAUGCCACCACCUAUUGAUGUCUUGGGAUUCUGGAGCAUCAGCUGGCCUCUGCUAUCAAUAAGCCUGCUUCGGGCAGCUUCCUCUCCCUUUUUAUGGAAUGGACUAAGAAAUCUACAUGGUUGGGGUUGUGCGAAAAUCAAGAGCAGUGAGGUUUAGGCUGGAGAUCUGGAGACAUUCGUUACAGAAUAAAACAUAUGAAACAGUGCACGGGCUUUGUGACAGCUUGUUUGUCUCCUCAGAAGCCAUUUUUGCUCAGUCCUACAUUUAGAAAGAACCCAGAUUCAACUAGAAAUUGGCUCUCUGAAUACAGAGGAUGCCUUUGAAUUCCGAUUUUGUCAGUAGGGGUGAUGGAGAACACUGGCAUCUCUGCAAUAUGCUUUUGAAAAUAAAAUGCUUCAUAAUAAAAUGCUCUGGCCGUUUCCCCUAAAUCCCAUUUCCCCCCCCCAAUUCAGCCGCCUGACGUCCUAAAACAUUGCCCUAACAUCUAUACAUUCAUCUUAAUCUGAGGCACCCA
rnacentral:lncRNA from 1 species